rnacentral:tRNA from 1 species
AGCAGAAUGGUUUAAUGGAAAAAACAUAGGCCUGGGAGCCAGAGAACUUGGGUUCUAAUCCUGAAUCUGCCA